GACGAACGCUGGCGGCGUGCUUAACACAUGCAAGUCGAACGCUGAAGCUCAGCUCUUGUUGGGUGGAUGAGUGGCGAACGGGUGAGUAACACGUGAGUAACCUGCCCCUUUCUUUGGGAUAACACCCGGAAACGGGUGCUAAUACUGGAUAUUCACUGGUCUUCGCAUGGGGGUUGGUGGGAAGGGUGUUUUUGGUGGGGGAUGGCCUCGCGGCCUAUCCGCUUGUUGGUGGUGUGAUGGUCUACUAAGGCUUUGACGGGCAGACGGCCUGAGCGGGUGACCGGUAACAUUGGGACGGUGAUACGGCCCAGAGUACUACGCGAGAGAGAAGUGUGGAAUAUUGGACAAAGGGCGACAGCGUGACGCAGCGACGGCGAGUGAGGUAUGGGGGUCUUCAGGUUGUGAAACUAUGUAGCAAAUGGUCAGGCAGUAACUAUGGUUGUCGUGACGGUAGUGGGUAAAGAAGCGCCGGCUAACUACGUG
rnacentral:rRNA from 1 species